rnacentral:rRNA from 1 species
CCCUUAGAUGUUCUGGGCCGCACGCGCGCUACACUGACGAAUGCAACGAGCUUAUAACCUUGGCCGAAAGGUCUGGGUAAUCUCCAAAUUUCGUCGUGAUGGGGAUAGAUGAUUGCAAUUAUUAAUCUUCAACGAGGAAUGCCUAGUAAGCGCAAGUCAUCAGCUUGCGUUGAUUACGUCCCUGCCCUUUGUACACACCGCCCGUCGCUCCUACCGAUUGAAUGGUCCGGUGAAGCGUUCGGACCGUGGCCUUUGGACGGUUCGCCGUCUGUUGGCUGCGGGAAGUUCGUUAAACCUUAUCAUUUAGAGGAAGGAGAANUCGUANCA